rnacentral:rRNA from 1 species
UACGUAGGGUGCAAGCGUUAAUCGGAAUUACUGGGCGUAAAGCGUGCGCAGGCGGCUUUGCAAGACAGAUGUGAAAUCCCCGGGCUUAACCUGGGAACUGCGCUUGUUACUGGCAGGCUUGAGUGUGGCAGAGGGGGGUGGAAUUCCACGGUGUAGCAGUGAAAUGCGUAGAGAAUGCGGAGGAACACCGAUGGCGAAGGACAGCCCCCU